UGUUGCAGCUCUAGUUAAAAACAAAUCAGUAAUAGUUUUGGUCAGACUUUCCAGUCAUAUUCCUCCUCCUUCCUGAGGAAUUGACUUUUAAUUCCAUCAUUACUCCUUAGUGAAGCAAUCCAUUUAAGGCAAACAUGUAUUUAAGGCUAAAGCCUUCUCAUUUAAUUGGCAUUUAUGCAAAAAAAUGAAGGUUAAUGAAAUCUUCCAGAAUUAUUCAAUAAGAAAAGUAGCUGGUAAGCAUGGCGCACAGGAAAAUGUGUGGUUCAUCCUGAACUGUACCCAAAAGGACAAUCUUAAGUCCUUAAUAUCAUUGGCAUGCAAAGAUAGUGAUUUGUAAUGUAAAAUUAUGUAGAGUGCUAUAGUAUAAGGAUUGAGAAAAUAUGUAGCCUAGUUUUUUUUUUUUUUUGUUUUUUUUUUAGAGUAGUGG